rnacentral:rRNA from 1 species
UACAGAGGGUGCGAGCGUUAAUCGGAAUUACUGGGUGUAAAGGGCGCGUAGGCGGCAAGAUAUGUGUGAUGUGAAAGCCCCGGGCUUAACCUGGGAAGUGCAUUGCAAACUGUCUGGCUAGAGUAUAUGAGAGGGUGGCGGAAUUUCCGGUGUAGCGGUGAAAUGCGUAGAUAUUGGGAGGAACACCGGUGGCGAAGGCGGCUCUCUGGACCGGUACUGACGCUGAGGCGCGAAAGCUAGGGGAGCAAACGGG